rnacentral:tRNA from 3 species
GCCCCCGUAGCUCAGUUAGAAGAGCAAUUCCUGCGAAACAGUAAGCGCUUACUGGCCAAGGGGAUAGGUCGCUGGUGCGAUUCCAGCCGGGGGCA